GGCUACUGUGGAGACAUUCCUCCUUAUUAAAGACAUACUGUUGGAAGGCUACUGUGGAGACAUUCCUCCUUAUUAAAGACAUACUGUUGGAAGGCUACUGUGGAGACAUUCCUCCUUAUUAAAGACA